rnacentral:lncRNA from 1 species
AUAUCCCAUAAGCCAUCUCAUUUGAAUAAUGACCUUAGGGGUUCUUGCAUAAAUCUCUUUUCAUAAGAAGAAGCCGCUCCUAAACACAUGAAUCUCCUCCCGACAACCCAAGAACUAUACCUAGCCCUCAUUACUCUGCUCCACCAACUAUUGGGGUCAAGAAGGAAUCGGGCCACAUGCCUAACAAUUAGGGUCUCCCGCCUAGUGGCCA